rnacentral:snRNA from 1 species
AAAAGAUUAAGUCGUCGAAUCCUUUUAGGAAACUACAACUGUUUAAAAAUUAAAUAUAAGACCCUGUGGGUCUAAUACCAAUGAUUAAAUUGGUAAGAACAGAUACUACACUUGAUCUUAGCCAAGAGGCCGAGAAAGGUG